GUGCUCAUGUUGGCAGCACAUACACUAAAAUUGGAAUGAUACAGAGAAGAUUAGCAUGGUCCCUGUGCAAGGAUGACAUGCAUAUUUGUGAAGCAUUUCGUAUUUAU